rnacentral:lncRNA from 12 species
GCUGGGGCUUCUCCCAAGUGCUGAUGCUGCAGUGUUCCCAUCAGAUGCACGCAGGAAGCAUCUUCCUGUUAUUUCUCUGGGUGGGCACACACAGACCUGGAUCCUGGAGAAUGCACAGCAGCCUCAGCUCUGCAAGCUGCAGCACACAGGGAAUGUCUGCCUGCAUGGAGAGUGUCCAUGGAGCCCUGCCCUCGAGCCCUGUCCAGGCUGCCAGGCCAGCAGGAUCCCUGGGGUUGCCUGAAUGUGAUCUCCCACCAGUGACCAUGGAAGGUCUUGGAGCCCUGCAAGUCCUCAUCAAAGACUGAGACUCCACUUCUCAUUGCCAAGCAGAUGGGGCCGCUG